CCACAAUCAAAGCUCCUUUUCAGGUUCCUCUCUUAAGAGCACAUUUUCCCUACUGUUAGUCACGGUAUUUCGUUUGCUCGUCGGUUCGCAUCACGUCAGAUAGUUUGUCAGAUACCUUUUUCAGUCCUUUUUCUCCAUGGUUCUGCCAGUUAUUCACACAUAUAAGGUUGUGUUAACGCUCAUCCGGAAGAAACAAGCCUGCCAAGGGUCCCCCGCAGUAUUCCCCGUCCUGGCCACUCCUAAAGUUCUGAGGUCAGGCCUUGCUUAAACGUAACUGUUGAGCUUAAAGAACAUUCAGUUCAAUAAGGUCUAAUCAUGCCUUAAGUUAGAGUUUUAAGCAGGUAGAUUCAUCUACUAACACUAAGCAAAACUUACUCUAGAGCUUUCGAUAUGGGUAAGUAUUGUGUAUGAUUCAAGAUAAUAAAUGCGUUCCAAUUAUAAAUGGCUCCUUGCACAAUUUUUGCCACAUCUCUUUGAAAUCAGCCUACAAUACAAUUAAAACUAUACCUACAGGAAUUUAACAUUACGUAUAGACCAUAUACCCAACAGCUCCCAUUUUCUUUUAUUAUUCAGUAAAGGUGCCGACUAGUGCCCGAGAUCAAAACUCC